UACGAAGGGGGCUAGCGUUGUUCGGAAUUACUGGGCGUAAAGCGUAUGUAGGCGGAUCGUUAAGUCGGGGGUGAAAUCCCGAGGCUCAACCUCGGAACUGCCUUCGAUACUGGCGAUCUUCGAGUCCGGGAGAGGUGAGUGGAACUCCGAGUGUAGAGGUGAAAUUCGUAGAUAUUCGGAAGAACACCAGUGGCGAAGGCGGCUCACUGGCCCGGUACUGACGCUGAGGCACGAAAGCGUGGGGAGCAAACAGG
rnacentral:rRNA from 1 species